CCAGGGUGGAGUCAAAUCACAGGAGCUGGAGUGGAAAAGGAACUUGUCCAAGCUCUCUCUCCACCACCAAUGACUCACAGCAGGACUUUUGUUUAGUGUGACAGGAGCUGAAUCAAGGUCCCUGAUAACCUGAGCCCACUGGAAUGUGGACCUGGAAUGCAGGGUGUCUCACGCAUGAGGAACGUCAUGUGCCUGGUGACCUGGUGUUUUCAGCGACUGGAGAGGAAGACGCUGCCAACAGAACAUGGCAGCCAAGAACUUUCCUGGGGGCAACGUCCUAGGAAACUGGGGGUCCUUAUCGUGUCUAUGAAACACAGAUUUUAUGGACAAAGCCUCUGAACUGUGUACAUCGAUGAGUGUUUUGUACUGUUUUACUAAAAAAAGAGUAGACUUCAUGUUCUUCAACUACAA
rnacentral:lncRNA from 1 species